rnacentral:tRNA from 5 species
GGUCCCGUAGUUCAACGGAUAGAAUAGAAGUUUCCUAAACUUUAGAUGUGGGUUCGAUUCCCGCCGGGACCACAA